rnacentral:rRNA from 1 species
CCUACGGGUGGCAGCAGUGAGGAAUAUUGGUCAAUGGACGAGAGUCUGAACCAGCCAAGUAGCGUGAAGGAUGACUGCCCUAUGGGUUGUAAACUUCUUUUAUAGGGGAAUAAAAUGUGCCACGAGUGGGAUUUUGUAUGUAACAGAUGAAUAAGGAUCGGCUAACGCCGUGCCAGCAUCCGCGGUAAUACGGAGGAUCCGAGCUUUAUCCGGAUUUAGUGGGUUGACAGGGAGCGUAGGUGGAUUGUUAAGUCAGUUGUGAAAGUUUGCGGCUCAACCGUACAAGUGCAGUUGAAACUGGCAGUCUUGAGUACAGUAGCGGUUGGCGGACUUC